rnacentral:rRNA from 1 species
CCAGACUCCUACGGGAGGCAGCAGUGGGGAAUAUUGCACAAUGGGGGAAACCCUGAUGCAGCGACGCCGCGUGAGUGAAGAAGUAUUUCGGUAUGUAAAGCUCUAUCAGCAGGGAAGAAAAUGACGGUACCUGACCAAGAAGCCCCGGCUAACUACGUGCCAGCAGCCGCGGUAAUACGUAGGGGGCAAGCGUUAUCCGGAUUUACUGGGUGUAAAGGGAGCGUAGACGGCAUGGCAAGUCAGAUGUGAAAGCCCGGGGCUCAACCCCGGGACUGCAUUUGAAACUGUCAGGCUGGAGUGCAGGAGAGGUAAGUGGAAUUCCUAGUGUAGCGGUGAAAUGCGUAGAUAUUAGGGGGAACACCAGUGGCGAAGGCGGCCUGCUGGACAGUAACUGACGUUGAGGCUCGAAAGCGUGGGGAGCAAACAGGAUUAGAUACCCUCGUAAGU